rnacentral:snoRNA from 1 species
CUUAAUGAUGAAUAACAUUUGCGUGAACAAUCUCUGACAUAAAUUCGAUUUUCGAGUUAUAGGAUUAUAAAACUUAUGUUGCCUUCCUUCUGAAA